UACGGGGGGGGCAAGCGUUGUUCGGAAUUACUGGGCGUAAAGGGCUCGUAGGCGGCCAACUAAGUCAGACGUGAAAUCCCUCGGCUUAACCGGGGAACUGCGUCUGAUACUGGUUGGCUUGAAUCCGGGAGAGGGAUGUGGAAUUCCAGGUGAUAGCGGUGGAAAUGACGUAGAUAUCUGGAGGAACACCGGUGGCGAAGGCGGCAUCCUGGACCGGUAUUGACGCUGAGGAGCGAAAGCCAGGGGAGCAAACGGG
rnacentral:rRNA from 1 species